CUUUGGUUUGCUCUGCCUCUCCAUUCAUCACUAAAGAUACGCAUGUAUUAAUUCGACUUACAUAACCUUGUUGAACUUGAGAUAAUGCUGCCAUUGAGAGAAGCUCACCCGAGAACUGCUCAUGAGGUUCCUGUAGCAGCUUGCAGCUUCUGCGGCCUCACCUCAGGGUGGUUGGAGAUCCUGGCAGUUUCUUCAGGAUUGAACUACAGCUGCGUGGUGUCUGUUUGCUGAAAGGACUGCCCUGUAGCUGCUGGUUCGUGUGUGUUGUCUGCCUGUCUGCCUGGAGGACUGGUCUGCAGCUACUAAGAAGUAUUGCUCCAGGACUGAACUGCUGCCCAAGAAGAUGGAGCUCACCCCCAAAGAACUGUUGCUAAACGGAAACGAUUGCAGAGUUGGCAAUGCAUGGAGAGUUUGAGACUAGAAGUCGAAGUGCUUAGAAAGAAAGAAGAGCCAGGGGGAGAACGGAGUUCAGGCUUGGUGAAUGAGACUGGGAAAGGACCGCACGAUGAAAAGAGAAAAGAAGAUAGGCUGGAAGGAAGAUAUUGUGAAUCUAUCAAAGUAAAACAGAAUAGAAGAACCAGGUGGUCUUCUCUUGGCACCAUUCCAACAGGACAAGUCCUCCUCAGAAAGGAACUCUGGGUAAGGCCACACCUGUCUUCUGCUAAGCCCUGCCUAUGCCAGUUCCAGCCAAGCUCCAGCUGUCUAGCACCUCUGCAUCCAGAGUUCCACUGUUCUAUGGUCCUCUUGCUUUUAACAUCUACACCAAGGCAUCUGAGCAUCCUUAGGUCUUCCAGUCUUGCACAACCCUUCACCGACAACUCGGACUACAAUCAUCACUACACACUGGAAAUUC
rnacentral:lncRNA from 1 species